GGAUUGGGAGGGUUCUACGGAACCCGUUUGGUGAAUCUAGUGCCGAGAAAAGCCUUCUAUGUGUUGAAUUUCUAGUACCCGUACCCCAAACCGACACAGGUGGGUGGGUAGAGCAUACCUAGGGGCGCGUGAUAACUCUCUCUAAGGAACUCGGCAAAAUGGCCCUGUAACUUCGGGAUAAGGGGUGCCUGCGUGAGCAGGCCGCAGUGAAAUGGCUCUGGCGACUGUUUACCAAAAACACAGGUCUCUGCUAAGUCGUAAGACGAUGUAUAGGGGCUGACUCCUGCCCAGUGCCGGAAGGUUAAGGAAGUUGGUUAGCGCAAGCGAAGCUGGCGACCGAAGCCCCGGUGAACGGCGGCCGUAACAAUAACGGUCCUAAGGUAGCGAAAUUCCUUGUCGGGUAAGUUCCGACCCGCACGAAAGGAGUAACGAUCAGAGCGCUGUCUCGGAGAGAGACACGGCGAAAUAGGAUUGUCCGUGAAGAUACGGACUACCUGCACCCGGACAGAAAGACCCUAUGAAGCUUUACUGUAACUUGGAAUUGUGUUCGGACUUUGUCUGCGCAGAAUAGGUGGGAGGCUAUGAAACGUUCCUCGCGGGGAACUGGAGCCAUCGUUGAGAUACCACUCUGGCAGAGUCUGGAUUCUAACCUACGGGGACAGUUCCAGGUGGGCAGUUUGACUGGGGCGGUCGCCUCCUAAAAUGUAACGGAGGCGCGCAAAGGUUCCCUCAGGCUGGUUGGAAAUCAGCCAUAGAGUGUAAAAGCAUAAGGGAGCUUGACUGUGAGACCUACAAGUCGAGCAGGGACGAAAGUCGGCUUUAGUGAUCCGACGGCACUGAGUGGAAGGGCCGUCGCUCAACGGAUAAAAGUUACUCUAAGGAUAACAGGCUGAUCUCCCCCAAGAGUUCACAUCGACGGGGAGGUUUGGCACCUCGAUGUCGGCUCGUCGCAACCUGGGGCGGUAGUACGUCCCAAGGGUUGGGCUGUUCGCCCAUUAAAGCGGCACGUGAGCUGGGUUCAGAACGUCGUGAGACAGUUCGGUCCAUAUCCGGUGUAGGCGUAGGAGCAUUGAAAGGAUCUCUCCUUAGUACGAGAGGACCGGGAGGGACGUACCUCUGGUGUACCUGUUAUCGUGCCAACGGUAAACGCAGGGUAGCCAUGUACGGAGUGGAUAACCGCUGAAGCAUCUAAGUGGGAAGCCCACCUUAAGAUGAGUGCUCCCUUGAGGCCACGGGAAGACGACCCGUUUGAUAGGCGCUAGGUGGAAGUGCAGUAAUGCAUGCAGCCGAGGCGUACUAAUAGGCCGAUGGC
rnacentral:rRNA from 1 species